rnacentral:misc_RNA from 1 species
UUUUUUUUUUUUUUUUUCCAUUAAAAACGAAAGCCAAUUCUCUCCAUUAUGCACGAACAUUUUGGUGAAUAAACUGCCUGUCCAGGAGUAUGCAUUUACAAGUUAGAGCAAUUUGUCCAUGAGAAUUUUCAGGACUGUUUUAAAUUAGUGAGUUGUGAUCAGUCAGUAACAAAAUUUUAUGUACUUAAUAGUUCUGGAGUGAGCUGUCACCAC